AGUCAAUAGAUACCCGGGUAGUCCACGCCCUAAACGAUGUCAACUGGUUGUUGGGAAGGUUCCUUCUCAGUAAACGUAAGCUAAACGCGUGAAAGUUGACCGCCUGGGGAGUACGACCGCAAGGUUGAAACUCAAAGGAAUUGACGGGGACCCGCACAAGCGGUGGAUGAUGUGGUUUAAUUCGAUGCAACGCGAAAAACCUUACCUACCCUUGACAUGCCUGGAAUCUUGCAGAGAUGUGAGAGUGCUCGAAAGAGAGCCAGGACACAGGUGCUGCAUGGCCGUCGUCAGCUCGUGUCGUGAGAUGUUGGGUUAAGUCCCGCAACGAGCGCAACCCUUGUCAUUAGUUGCUACGAAAGGGCACUCUAAUGAGACUGCCGGUGACAAACCGGAGGAAGGUGGGGAUGACGUCAGGUCCUCAUGGCCCUUAUGGGUAGGGCUACACACGUCAUACAAUGGCCGGUACAGAGGGCUGCCAACCCGCGAGGGGUAGCCAAUCCCAGAAAACCGGGUCGUAGUCCGGAUCGCAGUCUGCAA
rnacentral:rRNA from 1 species